AACGAACGCUGGCGGCAUGCCUAACACAUGCAAGUCGAACGAAGCCUUCGGGCUUAGUGGCGCACGGGUGCGUAACGCGCGGGAAUCUGCCCUUGGGUUCGGAAUAACAGUUAGAAAUGACUGCUAAUACCGGAUGAUGUCUUCGGACCAAAGAUUUAUCGCCCAAGGAUGAGCCCGCGUCGGAUUAGGUAGUUGGUGAGGUAAAGGCUCACCAAGGCGACGAUCCGUAGCUGGUCUGAGAGGAUGGUCAGCCACACUGGGACUGAGACACGGCCCAGACUCCUACGGGAGGCAGCAGUGGGGAAUAUUGGACAAUGGGCGAAAGCCUGAUCCAGGAAUGCCGCGUGAGUGAUGAAGGCCUUAAGGUUGUAAAGCUCUUUUACCCGUGAUGAUAAUGACAGUACCGGGAGAAUAAGCCCCGGCUAACUCCGUGCCAGCCGCCGCCGUAACAC
rnacentral:rRNA from 1 species